rfam:Leptospira interrogans serovar Bataviae str. HAI135 ctg1130079951144, whole genome shotgun sequence.
AAAAAGGUUUUAUUAAAAACCAGAUCAGAAGAAAAUUCAGGUAAAAU